GAAUUCCUACGGGGGGCAGCAGUGAGGAAUAUUGGACAAUGGGCGGAAGCCUGAACCAGCCAAGUCGCGUGAGGGAAUAAGGCCCUACGGGUCGUAAACCUCUUUUGCCGGGGAGCAAGGGCCGGGACGCGUCCCGGCCCGGAGAGUACCCGGAGAAAAAGCAUCGGCUAACUCCGUGCCAGCAGCCGCGGGAAUACGGAGGAUGCGAGCGUUAUCCGGAUUUAUUGGGUUUAAAGGGUGCGUAGGCGGGCUUUUAAGUCAGC
rnacentral:rRNA from 1 species